rnacentral:lncRNA from 1 species
AUUCUUUUAUAAUAUUUUUAAUAGCACAUUAACGUGAUGUUCUAUUAUUUGAGAAGAAAGUGCCAAAUCCUAAACAAUCAAUAAACAGCUUGUAAGAGCUUCUUCAAUCAGUGUAUUCAAGCUUUCUAUAAGAAAUAUUAUGAAGAUGACUUACCAAAUUUAAUCCAUUGUGAAUUUUUUUGUGAUAUUACUGUCGAUGACAACGGUACUUACAAAAUUGCAAUAGGGUGAUUGUAAGAAUAUCUUGAUUCCUAUUCAUAACUUUCUGACUUCUUACUGCUUCUCCAAGAAGUCUCAUAUGGUGUACAAGGUCAAUUAAUCUACAUGAGUAAUCUUUGACAAACCCAUCCUCCUUCAUUUUCAUAAAUUUAAACUCCUAGUUCAAAGUAAAAAGUUUAAUUGUCUUUAACUCUUUUACUUUCAUUUUCAUAAGUUCAAACUUCUUUGAGUUUGUUCCAGACUUGUUUUGGUGACUCCAAAUCUGUUGUAAUAAUAUGGUCAACCAAAUUCACAUGAAUACAAGUGAUGUCUUUGUCUUCUUUAACUUUUCAUCUUCAUAUGUCUUGAUUUAUACAAUGGUGGGAUUUGCUCUAUAGGGAGGUGGAUUGCUGUCUAAUAACACCACUUGCUGAAGGCUUUGAAAUCUAAGAUGAUAUCUCACAUUGACUGCCCAAAUAUGAUAGUUUUCACCAUUGAACAUAGGAAUAGAAGAAGAUGAACUGUUGUUGGAAGUCAUACAGAUAGUUUUCUCACUUUCUCCGAGUAUCUUAGUUUCAAUCUCUUCUCCAAAAAGUUUCUAAAUCUAUCUUACAGUCUCAUAAGAUAUAAGGUAAAAAUAUGUAUUUAUAUCUCAUUUAAAUUUAAUUGAUAUAUUUUAUAUAAAUAAUAUGGUAAAAAUAUAUAUUUAUACUUCACUAAAUUUAAUUGUCAAAUUUCAGAUAAUAUUAGCUAAAAAGAGAAUUAUUGAGCAAAAUAUUCAAAAGAAAAUGAGUGUAAUAGGACGUGUUUGUUGUCAAAAUUCAAGAUCAAGAUAUAUGGGCUGGAUAUUUUCACAGUACUUAGCUCGAAAAUUACAUGUCAUU